AUUGAACGCUGGCGGCAGGCCUAACACAUGCCAGUCGAGCGGAUGAAGGGAGCUUGCUCCUGGAUUCAGCGGCGGACGGGUGAGUAAUGCCUAGGAAUCUGCCUGGUAGUGGGGGAUAACGUCCGGAAACGGGCGCUAAUACCGCAUACGUCCUGAGGGAGAAAGUGGGGGAUCUUCGGACCUCACGCUAUCAGAUGAGCCUAGGUCGGAUUAGCUAGUUGGUGGGGUAAAGGCCUACCAAGGCGACGAUCCGUAACUGGUCUGAGAGGAUGAGCAGUCACCCUGGAACUGAGACACGGUCCAGACUCCUACGGGAGGCAGCAGUGGGGAAUAUUGGACAAUGGACGAAAGCCUGAUCCAGCCAUGCCGCGUGUGUGAAGAAGGUCUUCGGAUUGUAAAGCACUUUAAGUUGGGAGGAAGGGCAGUAAGUUAAUACCGUGCUGUUUUGACGUUACCAACAGAAUAAGCACCGGCUAACUUCGUG
rnacentral:rRNA from 1 species